UUCAAGACAGAGUUAACUGCCAUGCAUAAC
rnacentral:piRNA from 1 species